CCUACGGGUGGCAGCAGUGAGGAAUAUUGGUCAAUGGACGAGAGUCUGAACCAGCCAAGUAGCGUGAAGGAUGACUGCCCUAUGGGUUGUAAACUUCUUUUAUAUGGGAAUAAAACGUUCCACGUGUGGGAUUUUGUAUGUACCAUAUGAAUAAGGAUCGGCUAACUCCUUGCCAGCAGCCGCUGUAAUACGGAGGAUCCGAGCGUUAUCCGGAGUUAUUGGGGUUAAAGGGAGAGUAGGUGGAUUGUUAAGUCAGUGGUGAAAGUUUGCGGCGAAACCGGAAAAUUGCAGUUGAAACUGGCAGUCUUGAGUACAGUAGAGGUGGGCGGAAUUCGUGGUGUAGCGGUGAAAUGCUUAGAUAUCACGAAGAACUCCGAUUGCGAAGGCAGUUCACUGGACUGCAACUGACACUGAGGCUCGAAAGUGUGGGUAUCAAACAGGAUUAGAUACCCGAGUAGUC
rnacentral:rRNA from 1 species